rnacentral:rRNA from 1 species
UACGUAGGGUGCGAGCGUUGUCCGGAAUUAUUGGGCGUAAAGAGCUCGUAGGCGGUCCGUCACGUCGGGCGUGAAAAUCCAGGGCUCAACCCUGGACCUGCGCCCGAUACGGGCGGACUAGAGUUCGGUAGGGGAGACUGGAAUUCCUGGUGUAGCGGUGAAAUGCGCAGAUAUCAGGAGGAACACCGGUGGCGAAGGCGGGUCUCUGGGCCGAUACUGACGCUGAGGAGCGAAAGCGUGGGGAGCAAACAGG